GGUACACUGACCGUACUAAGGUAGCAUAAUAAUUUGCCUUUUAAUUGGAGGCUAGUAUGAAUGGCUUGACGUGAAAUAUACUGUCUCAACUAUAUUUAGUAGAAUUUAACUUUUAGGUGAAGAGGCCUAAAUUUUGUGGGAAGACAAGAAGACCCUAUUGAGCUUUAAAUAUUUAUGUUAGUGGGAGCCUAAGAUUUAUAUGAUGGUCAUUACUUCUAAGUAUGUUGGUUGGGGCGACCGAGGAGCAUAAAGUAACCUCCUUGUAAUGUAAAGAAUUUGUUAUCAACGAACCUGUAAUAUAGGUUAUUCGGUAGUUACCAUAGGGAUAACAGCGUAAUUCUUUUGAAGAGUUCAUAUCGAAGAAAGAGAUUGCGACCUCGAUGUUGGAUUAAGGUGUCCUAAGGGUAGAAGAA
rnacentral:rRNA from 1 species